UUUACUUUGCAGAUGAGCCAAAAUGGUCAGCGAGUGCAAUUGGGUCGUGGUUGCUGAUCCCUAGGCAACCAAUGCUCCUGGACAAGCAGUGAAUUCAUCUUUACCUAUCCCCAUGAGAUCUGGACAAGUGCAAUAAUUUUUCUGAGUGCUGUGGAAAUUAUUGCCUGUAGCUUUGAGAAAGUACUAACAGUGUCUCAGUCUUGGUUGUGCUGAAGGUGGCAGCUGCCUUGCCACGAGACAGUGCUUAUCUUCUAAUUAAUGCCUCCCUGUUGGUGCACGCAGGGAAAUCAUACAGGAGCUGUUGCCUCUCAUUACAAAAAUGAUGCCCUACGAGUUUGGUGGAAAGCAACACCUAGCCUGCCAGCUGGGACCCAGCCUAUUGAGAAGCUCGGUGUCUGAGACAGUUCCUCCUUCCCACUACUGAUGGGCAGUUGGACAUGCACCUUGGCUGUGAACUGGUGCAGAGCUGGGUCCGCUGCCUACUGAAGUCACUUGAAGCUGGGGCACCGCUUCUGAUGUCACCUGCUUCAGCAAGGUCACCGUGACAGCAUGGCAUAAGGGGCUGUGCCAGCACAAGCUGUCCCUGCUUCAGGAAUUCGGCUUUCCCAGUCCACCACGUCACCCUUAGAAACCAGCUCACCUGCAGAACAGCCACUGCUACCCUCAUCUUGGGCUGGCACAAAGCACAGCACAGGCAGGACUGCUGUCCCCUGAGGACCUCCAAUAAACACCAAACAAAACAAUUUUUCUAGGAGGAGAAUGGGAGGUUUGACCCUCCAUCAAAAUAAGGCAAUAUAUAUAUUUUUUUCAUCCUGUUAUCAAUGAAAUAGUUACCACUAGUUAUUUCUAUUCACUCUUUCUUCCCUCUCCAUAUCAUCAUCUAGUUGCUAUUUUUCUUUAAUGCAUCCGUACAACUAAUCACCAGUUUUUUACACCCACAUUUUACCACCACCCUUUUAACACACAUCCCAGCAUUGAAUUACUUGAGUUCAGCAGAAAGUUGGCUCAGUCCUUCUGAAAAACAACAUGCCUUUCAACCUGUUCAGCAGGAAGCCUACCUCCACUCCUUAGUCCAUUCCAGAGAGGAAAGGGGUGGUGAAUAAUUCAUUAAAAUAUUCCUUCUCCUUCCACCAACACACCAAUUCACAAGAGAGAAAUAUCUCCUUCUACCUGUCUGUAUGUGCUUGUUCCUCAUCUCAG
ensembl:lncRNA